UCUUAAGGAUGUGCAAAACAAGUGGUUUCUUGAGAUGGAAUCUACUUCUGGUGAAAAGGCUGUGAA
rnacentral:pre_miRNA from 1 species